AGUGAACGCUGGCGGCAGGCCUAAUACAUGCAAGUCGAACGACAGCACAGUAAGCUCUUUCUCUUACGGUUGGCGAGUGGCGGAUGGGUGACGCAUACAUCGCCAUCUACUUUUUCUGGGGGGAUAACGUAGGGCAAGUUACGCUAACACCGCAUAUGUCGUACCGCUUAAAUCAGUAGAUCUUCGGACCUUUCGUGUCUGUAUUAGCCGAUGUCGGAUUAGGUAGUUUGCUGGGUAAAGGCCCACCAAGGCGACGCACCGGAGCUGGUCUGAGAGGAUGGUCAGCCACACUGGAACUGAGACACGGUCCCAACUCCUAAGGGAGGCAGCAGUGGGGAAUAUUGGACAAUGGGCGGAAGCCUGAUCCAGCCAUACCGGGGGGGUGAAGGAAGCCUUCGGGUUGUAAAACCCUUUUGAUGGGAAAGAAAAAAAGCAGGAUAAAACCAUGCUGUUCUGACGGUACCCAAAGAAGAAGCACCGGCUAACUUCGUG
rnacentral:rRNA from 1 species